rnacentral:rRNA from 1 species
UGCCAGACUCCUACGGGAGGCAGCAGUGAGGAAUAUUGGUCAAUGGCCGCAGGGCUGAACCAGCCAAGUCGCGUGAGGGAUGACGGUCCUAUGGAUUGUAAACCUCUUUUGUCAGGGAGCAAAGCGAGUCACGUGUGACUCAUUGAGAGUACCCGAAGAAAAAGCAUCGGCUAACUCCGUGCCAGCAGCCGCGGUAAUACGGAGGAUGCGAGCGUUAUCCGGAUUUAUUGGGUUUAAAGGGUGCGCAGGCGGAGGUGCAAGUCAGCGGUCAAAUUGCGGGGCUCAACCCCGUACUGCCGUUGAAACUGCGUUUCUUGAGUGGGCGAGAAGUACGCGGAAUGCGUGGUGUAGCGGUGAAAUGCAUAGAUAUCACGCAGAACUCCGAUUGCGAAGGCAGCGUACCGGCGCCCAACUGACGCUCAUGCACGAAAGCGUGGGUAUCGAACAGGAUUAGAUACCCGCGUAACU